rnacentral:rRNA from 1 species
GAUGAACGCUGGCGGCGUGCCUAAUACAUGCAAGUCGAGCGAACAGACGAGGAGCUUGCUCCUCUGACGUUAGCGGCGGACGGGUGAGUAACACGUGGAUAACCUACCUAUAAGACUGGGAUAACUUCGGGAAACCGGAGCUAAUCCCGGAUAAUAUAUUGAACCGCAUGGUUCAAUAGUGAAAGACGGUUUUGCUGUCACUUAUAGAUGGAUCCGCGCCGCAUGAGCUAGUUGGUAAGGUAACGGCUUACCAAGGCCACGAUGCGUAGCCGACCUGAGAGGGUGAUCCGCCACACUGGAACUGAGACACGGUCCAGACUCCUACGGGAGGCAGCAGUAGGGAAUCUUCCGCAAUGGGCGAAAGCCUGACGGAGCAACGCCGCGUGAGUGAUGAAGGUCUUCGGAUCGUAAAACUCUGUUAUUAGGGAAGAACAAAUGUGUAAGUAACUAUGCACGUCUUGACGGUACCUAAUCAGAAAGCCACGGCUAACUACGUG